rnacentral:rRNA from 1 species
UACGUAGGGGGCUAGCGUUGUCCGGAUUUACUGGGCGUAAAGAGCGCGCAGGCGGUCGUACAAGUCGCGUGUGAAAGCCCCCGGCUCAACUGGGGAGGGUCACGCGAUACUGUUCGACUCGAAGGCAGGAGAGGGUAGUGGAAUUCCCGGUGUAGUGGUGAAAUGCGUAGAUAUCGGGAGGAACACCAGUGGCGAAGGCGACUACCUGGCCUGUUCUUGACGCUGAGGCGCGAAAGCUAGGGUAGCAAACGGG